AGCAGUAGCCACGGGAACACAGAGGGUGCGAGCGUUAAUCGGAUUUACUGGGCGUAAAGCGUGCGUAGGCGGCUUCUUAAGUCGGAUGUGAAAUCCCUGAGCUUAACUUAGGAAUUGCAUUCGAUACUGGGAAGCUAGAGUAUGGGAGAGGAUGGUAGAAUUCCAGGUGUAGCGGUGAAAUGCGUAGAGAUCUGGAGGAAUACCGAUGGCGAAGGCAGCCAUCUGGCCUAAUACUGACGCUGAGGUACGAAAGCAUGGGGAGCAAACAGGAUUAGAUACCCCCGUAGUCCCUGUCUCUUAUAA
rnacentral:rRNA from 1 species